rnacentral:lncRNA from 1 species
GUGAAACGGGCCGUCCCCAUACCCCGUCCGGUAUGGGUGCCAAAACACAUAAGAUCUCUAUACCCCGUCCAGUAUGGAAGAUCAUAAUCCCGGUAGGGUUCCCUACAGACCCGGUCCGUCCACCAUCUCCCAGGAUAUCUAGUCAGGCUGACCACAUUACCCAUUUACAUAAUCUUUCAUUCUCUUUUUUCCUCAGUCAGCAUCAUUAAUCCACAUACAAACAAGCAAAACGGUAAUUUAUGCCAAACAGACAACAUGCAGCAUCAAUAUCCCAGUCAUUCGAUUCAUAAUCAAUAAAACAGUAAAAUAUGCAUACGAACUAUUAAAUGAAAACAUCAAACCUCAUACUGCAUUUAAAACUGUAAAACAGGGCAAAUAACAGUUAACCGACAAACACACUAGACUCGAGCUCCAUUAGCGACCUUAAGCAAUUUCACACAUUCGUUGAUUCAAGAAAUACCGUUUUAUCAUUAUUGAACUUUAAUACCGUGAUAGAAAAUAGGGUGAGGGGUCCUUACACGUUUCGGGGUCCGAACACGGCUUCACAGUGCGCCUACAGGCUGUCCCUAAUUUUUCCUGAAUUUUUCUCGGGGAACUGAAACGCAUUACUGGUACCUGCACGUGUUCCAAAAAAUCCCAAAUUAGGCCCAGGGCCCCUUUCGGCCAAUAUCGCAACUCCGGCACGGCGGCGGUUCGCCUCGGGUUAGCCGUUUUCGGCCACACUCACAUUGGUUCCUGCGAUAAAACAACCCUACGACCAUCGGGGGGCCGAAAAUUUACGGAAAACCGAAGUUUACCGGCGGCGGUGCUCUCGGGUGCGGCGGCUCUCCGGUGAAGUUCGUGUUUUGGUGAUUCGGCUCCGAUCAACAUGUAGAGAAAAGAAUGGUGAUCACGGUGAUAUAAAAAUUGCAUUAAACGGAGGUCGGGAAGGG